rnacentral:rRNA from 1 species
CGAGGUGAAACCUAAUUGGCCUGAAGAAGAGCUUGCGUCUGAUUAGCUAGUUGGUGGGGUAAAGGCCUACCAAGGCGACGAUCAGUAGCUGGUCUGAGAGGAUGAGCAGCCACACUGGGACUGAGACACGGCCCAGACUCCUACGGGAGGCAGCAGUGGGGAAUUUUCCGCAAUGGGCGAAAGCCUGACGGAGCAACGCCGCGUGAGGGAGGAAGGUCUUUGGAUUGUAAACCUCUUUUCUCAAGGAAGAAGUUCUGACGGUACUUGAGGAAUCAGCCUCGGCUAACUCCGUGCCAGCAGCCGCGGUAAUACGGGGGAGGCAAGCGUUAUCCGGAAUUAUUGGGCGUAAAGCGUCCGCAGGUGGUCAGCCAAGUCUGCU